rnacentral:lncRNA from 1 species
CCAAAAUAAACCUAUGAAAAGAACCAUGCACAAGUACCUCAAAUAUAGUCCAAAUGAAGUGAUUAUGGACUUUUUAGAAAGGUUACAUAACUUUCAUGUUUAAUACUUUCCCAUUUGAAGCCUGGAUCAUGAUGAAUUGUUUGGUGGAAAUUUUGAGAAAUCAAACAAUUGUAUUUUUUCUAAGUACCAAGUCAAAUGACCACCUCUUCCACCUUGAAUAACUUUUGCUAUGAACUACAAAUGGAAAUGGUUUCUUCAUCAAAGUUUUAUAUCUUUCAUCCCUAUUCAAUUUGGUCACAAAUUUGACUUCAUUUGGAUUUUGACCUCUUAACUAGGGCACAAACAAAAUGACCUAUAAUCUUUCACCAUUAAAAAUGAAUUUCCAAGCAAAACUAGCUCUUGAUGUCAACAGGAAAGUUGUUUGGAAUGUCAUAAGGAGCAACGUUUCUCUUGGAAUCAUUUUCAUAUGACAAAUACUAUAGGAGAUAGGGUCUAGGGAACCCCGGUUUUGACCAAUGGAUUUUCUCUGAUUAACCUCUUUGAACCAAGUUGCAAACUUGAAGUUCUUUUGAUCUUUUGGACUCAUGUAGGAUCAUAUAUGUAUAAUAUGAUGUAUUUUGAAGUAUACCUUGAUAUAUUGGACCAAUUGUUGAAUAAACUUAUUGAGGAAGUCACACAAGAUACCGAGAUGAAUUAGGGCUUCCAAUGUAAACUAGCUUCAAACUCUUGUUUAAUUAUUGAUCAAAAUGAUAAAUGAAGAACAUUGGGAUCCAUAUAUAAUGUCAAGAACCAUUUUGAAAUCUAUCUUGCAUUGAGGGUCUCCACCCCUAGUUAUAAGCUUGAUGAAGCAUUGGUGGAUGCAUAUAAUACCUACAAAAGAAACAAAGUUAUACAUAGACAUACUUUUGGUUUUUUGAUUAGUAAAUAAAUAAAAACAAAGUAUGAUACAAUGAAAUGUUCUUGGUGAUCUCUCCCAAUGCAAACCCAAUCAAUGAGGGGUAACGAGGAUGCCGAGGUGUGAUCCCAAAGCCAAUGCAAAUAUUGAGAUAGCAUGAGGGAUCUUAGGAUCAAAAUUGGGAUCUUACAUUAGGGUAAAUUUAGAGUAUGAUCGGUUCCAAUAAAUGUCUUCCUGUUAGAACUUGCAACAUUAUCGAACCACUAUUGAGAAGAAUCUCUAUGUUAAAGAAGGAGAGGAACACCCAAAUGGUGGGAGAGAGGGGCAUCUAGGUUAAAAAAUAUUAUAUGGAAAACCAUUAAAUUUCUCCAUACGUUAGAGUGAUUUAGGAAGGGGAGAUGUUAGUAAUCCCCAGUACGUCUGUCUCAAAAUAGGUAAAAGGGAACAAACCCCCCAACUCGUGGAUAAUAAGAAGCAGAAGACUCGCUCGCAAUGAGCAUAUUGGCUUUCUCCAUUUUUAAAAAGGGUUCUAGGGUCAUGUCCUUUUUGCGCAAUUUCAUGACUAACAUGAAACCAUCCUCUAUUUAAGACUCAUGUAAAGUUUGGAUAAAAAACAUUAUGACACUAUGAAAGAAAAUCAUUAAUAGAAGAACUAACAAGUCCUGAAUGAAUAAAAUACAAAGAUUAUAAGUGAAACAUAAUCUACUAAAGUACAAAUAUUAUGCUCUUACUAGACACAAGUAAACAUUUAAUUUUAAUCUCCAUAAAUUUUUUCCUAUGGUUAUUAUAAAAAUAAACAAUUAAUUAUAUCUCCUUAGUUUUUUCAAAGGUUAUUAUAUGUGUAUUGAUAUUUUAUUUGUUUGCAUCUUUUAAAUGUGAACAGGGCCAUCGUAACUAUUAAAAAGUAAGAGAAAUAUAAAUUGAAGAAUGAGAAAUAUCAGUAGCUUUACAAUAUUAUUAUAUAAAUAUAGAAGUAUAAAAUUUUAAGAAACUUUAAAUUAUUUUCAAUUUAAUUUUUAAAGAUACUUUGAGAGGUGAUAAGAUGGAUAAACGGUGCCAUGUAACAUUCUUUAUUCUCCUUAACCAACUUGUUUAGUAUGUGGAUAUGGAUAUUGUUUGUUAAAUUACCUUAAAAUUGAAUGUUCAAUGGAUCUAUUAAAUAAUACGCUUUCAAUUUUCUUUCAUCACGUGUCUCAUGCAAGACCCUAAUUAAAAGGUAAUGCAAAUGUCAAAAUUUUAUGUUAAAGUAUCAGAACAAUGAAUUAUGGAAUCUCGUCUAUCAUACUACAUAAUCUUUUUCAUUUCCGUUUAGUUAGAUUUGCAAAUAAGAGUGUUAGAUUACAUUAUUUUAUUUCCUCUAAAUAUUAUGUUGUAUGAUAUAAAAAGAGAAAAUAAGUUUUUUAUUAGGGUGCUUGAGGAGAUGUUGUAUCUCGCUCCAACUGAAUAGAUAAAACAUCAUUUGUUUGUGAAAAGCUUUUUUAUUCGCGUUGAGGAAGAAGUUAGAUUAAUGGGUUGAAAUCAUUUUUAGGUGGAAGAUAAUUAUUCGAAAGGAAGGAUAUACUCCUUUUAUAGAUAAAAGUAAAAAUAAAAAUAGAGAGGAAAUGGCUCGCUCGUAAUGAGCGUAUUGGCUCUCUGCAUUUAAAAACACGGUUCUAGGGUCACAUCCUCUUCGUGUAAUUUCUUGACUAACAUGUAUCCUCUAUUUAAGACUCCUAUAAAGUUUGAAUAAAAAACUUUAUGACACAGAGAAAGAAAAUUAUUAAUAUAAGAGGUAACAAGUCUUGAAUGGAUAAAAUACAAAGAUUAUAAGUGAAAUAAAAUCUACUAAAGUACGAAUAUUAUGCUCUUACUACACACAAGCAAACAUUUAAUAUUAAUCUCCAUAAAUUUUUCUUAUGGUUAUUAUAAAAAUUAACAAUUAAUUAUAUCUCCUUAGUUUUUUCAAAGGUUAUUAUAUGUGUAUUGAUAUUUUAUUUGUUUGCAUCUUUUAAAAGUGAACAAGGCCGCCGUAACUAUUAAAAAGUAAGAGAAAUAUAAAUUGAAGAAUGAGAAAGAUCAGUGGCUUUACAAUAUUAUUAUAUAAAUAUAGAAGUAUAAAAUAGUAAGAAACUUUAAAUUAUUUUCAAUUUAAUUUUUAAAGAUACUUUGAGAGGUGAUAGGAUGGAAAAGAAAAUAUGAUAUGCAUAAAUUGAAGGUCAUGAAUAUUUCUCUAAAAUUUAAAGGGAAGAAGAUACUAAAAAUAUUAUUAUUUGUUGUCCUAUUUCAUUUCAUUACAAUAAUACUAGUGUAUAAAUCCAGAACUAUUAGGUUGUUGUAAUAAAAUUUAAACAAAAACUCAAAUUAUUGAGGGUAAAAAUACAAUAUCCAAAUGACAUACGAUAACACAUAAAAUAUAUUAGGUGUUUGUGUCUUAUCUGGGGACUUUCAAUUAAAAACUAAAUUUGUAAACUCUUAAAGGAAUUUAUUUAUCUUCUCGGAUUAAGCAAUUCACGCACUAUUAUACAUUUACAAUUAGUGCGGUUCAUGCAUUUUCCUCUAUAAGGAGGUCGGCAAUAAAUUUUGUUUUCACAAUCUGAAUCAUCAAAACAUUUGAUUUUCUCUGCUGCAAUUAAAAAAACACUAUAAGGUUAUUAAAAUGAAAAAAAAAUACAAUGUAUGAAAUAAAAGAGAACAUUUAAAAUGAAUGAACAAAAGUUACCUUUAAUUUUCGUUCCAAUCAAAAACAGAGAGACUAACAUAAUCAUAACAUAAGCAAAUUUUACUAUUUGUACCAUAUUUCUCCUCGUUAUUUUUAUAAAUUAUUUUGUAACUUUGUAGUUUAUGAAUAAGAGUGGAUCCUCGCCUUUUAUAAUUUUUACUUGUGGACACUUAGUUGUAAAAUAAAUCUUAAAAUUAAAUUAAUUAGUAUAUAACUUUUCGAUACAUCAUUUUUUUGUCUUUGUCUCUUCAGCACAUCCAAAAAAGAUGUAAAAUAAAACAUGUCUAUCAUAAAAAUUUAUUCUUCUUAUAAUAAAAUUUUAAUCAUUUUAUAUUAUUUUACCUCGGAUGUGAAUGGGAGAUUACCUUAGUUAUAGAGAUGGGAUACCAAAGAGCGUCAUAAAAAACUAACAUCUUAUCGAUCGGUUUUGAAUAACCGAGGGGAAAGGUGAAAAAGUCAUUCAUUUGAUCCCCAGUGUAGGUCGGAUUUUUUUAAAAGUUAUAGAGAUGGGAUACCAAAGAGCGUCAUAAAAAACUAACAUCUUAUCGAUCGGUUUUGAAUAACCGAGGGGAAAGGUGAAAAAGUCAUUCAUUUGAUCCCCAGUGUAGGUCGGAUUUUUUUAAUAACUGAGGGGUAUAACCAAUGUUUUUUAAAAUUCCAUUUUAACUGACCUUGAUCAUUUUUUAUAUAGAUCCUACAAAUUAGGUGAGAGAAUCAUAUCAAUUGUAUUUUAUUUAGAAUAUAAAACAAAAUACCAAUUUUACAUUGUUUAUAAAAGCAAAUGUACAAUCCUUGCAAUACUUAUCGUGAUAUUUGGUAUACACAAAACCUAUGCCAAGAGAACCUAUACAUAUUUUCACCUAAAUUGACAAAACAUUUACACAAUGCUAGUGUAUAGAUAAAAAUCAAGAAAAACUAGUGUUUACUAGAUUCAUAAUGACAUAAGAAGACACUUGCACAACGUGAUCGGAUGUCAUCUAUAUCCUCUUGUGGAAAUGGUGUUUUAUUGCUAGACGCUUAUAAUUUGAACAAAAUUUAAAUUAUGAUAAGAUAACUACAACAAUAAUAAAUAACAAUUAUACAUAAAUUACAUGUAUAUGGAUAAAGUUAAUACCUUAUUCAAUGAAUUAAUAAUGCCAUUAGAGAAAAUAUUAGACAUAUGUAUCAUAGUAUUAUAUCGACAUAUAAAGUUCUGUGAAUACAUAAAUUACAUGUAUAUGGAUAAAGUUAAUACCUUAUUCAAUGAAUUAAUAAUGCCAUUAGAGAAAAUAUUAGACAUAUGUAUCAUAGUAUUAUAUCGACAUAUAAAGUUCUGUGAUUAUCUUCGCUGCUACAAAUAAUUUUCAUAUUGUUACUAAUUAAUACACACAAGACACAAGUAAUACAUUAGAGAAACUAAAAUAAUAUCAAAAAGCAUAAGUAAUACUUACACGUGGUUCUAUGAACUUUAGCUUUUUACCCUGUAUAUUACGUUUCACAAAAUUGUAUCCCUCCAAAUCAUUACAUGAUGGUAAAAAUCAAACAUGAAUAAAACUUUUCAAGACUAAAGGUAAAAUUUGAGUAUUCCAAAUAAUACCACUUACGCACUUAAAAUCUUUUGUAUAUCUUCAUCAAGAUGACAAUGUAACCAGCAUAACAUAACUAUAAUAUUUUUCUUCUGACAUAAAAUAAUUAAUUGCAAAUGUUUGCUACAUAAAAACAUAGAAUAAUUACCAAUGUGUGUAUAAAAUUGAUUUAUAAAUGAAAACACAAAUUAAAUCAUAUACUUAAUUAUGGAUAAAUUAUGACAUGUAAUAUUCUUUAUUCUCUUUAACCAACUUGUUUGUAUGCGUAUAUGGAUAUUGUUGGUUAAAUUACCUUAAAAUUGAAUGUUCAAUGAAUCUAUGAAAUAAUAUGCUUUCAAUUUUCUUUCGACACUUGUCUCAUGCAUGACCCUAAUUAAAAGGUAAUGCAAAUGUCAAAAUUUUAUGUUAAAGUAUGAGAACAAUGAAUUAUGGAAUCUCGUCUAUCAUACUAAAUAAUCUUUUUCAUUUCCAUUUAGUUAGAUUUGCAAAUAAGAGUGUUAGAUUACAUUAUUUUAUUUCCUCUGAAUACUAUGUUGUAUGAUAUAAACAGAGAAAAUUAUUGUUUUAUUAGGGUGCUUGAGUAGAGGUUGUAUCUCGCUCCAACUGAAUUGAUAAAACAUCAUUCGUUUGUGAAACGUUUUUUAGUCGCGCUGAGGAAGAAGUAAGAUUCAUGGGUUGAAAUUAUUUUUAGGUUGAAGAUGAUUAUUCGAAAGGAAAGAUAUACUCCUUUUAUAGAUAAAAGUAAAAAUAAAAUUAGAGAGGAAAUGACUCGCUCGUAAUGAGCGUAUUGGCUCUCUGCAUUUUAAAACAGGGUUCUAGGGUCACAUCCUCUUCAAGUAAUUUCUUGACUAACAUGUAUCCUCUAUUUAAGACUCAUAUAAAGUUUGAAUAAAAAACUUUAUGACACAGAGAAAGAAAAUUAUUAAUAGAAGAGGUAACAAGUCUUGAAUGGAUAAAAUACAAAGAUUAUUAGUGAAAUAAAAUCUACUAAAGUACGAAUAUUCUGCUCUUACUACACACAAGUAAACAUUUAAUAUUAAUCUCCAUAAAAAAUUUCUUAUGGUUAUUAUAAAAAUAAACAAUUAAUUAUAUCUCCAUAGUUUUUUCAAAGGUUAUUAUAUGUGUAUUGAUAUUUUAUUUGUUUGCAUCUUUUAAAGGUGAACAAGGCCACCGUAACUAUUAAAAAGUAAGAGAAAUAUAAAUUGAAGAAUGAGAAAGAUCAAUAGCUUUAUAAUAUUAUUAUAUAAAUAUAGAAGUAUAAAAUUGUAAGAAACUUUAAAUUAUUUUCAAUUUAAUUUUUAAAGAUACUUUGAGAGGUGAUAGGAUGGAAAAGAAAAUGUGAUAUGCAUAAAUUGAAGGUCAUGAAUAUUUCUCUAAAAUUUAAAGUGAAGAAGAUACUAAAAAUAUUAUUACUAUGUUGUCCUAUUUCAUUUCAUUACAAUAAUACUAGUGUGUAAAUCCACAACUAUAGGUUGUGAAAAUAAAAUUUAAACAAAAAAAAUUAUUGGGGUAAAAAUACAAUAUCCAAAUGACAUACGACAACACAUAAAAUAUAUUAGGUGUUUGCGUCUUCUCUAGGGACUUUCAAUUAAAAACUAAAUUUGUAAACUCUUAAAGUAUUAUUAUCUCCUGGGAUUAAGCAAUCACGCACUAUUUUACAUUUACAAAUAAGUUUGCUUAUGCAUUUUCCUCUAUAAGGAGGCCGGCAAUAAUUUUUUUGAUAAUCUGAAUCAUCAAAACAUUCGAUUCUCUCUGCUGCAAUAAAAAACACUAUAUGGUUAUUAAAAUGAAAAAUAUAACGUAUGAAAUAAAACAGAACUUUAAAAUGAAUGAACAAAAGUUACCUUUAAUUUUCGUUCCAAUAAAAAUAGAAAGAAUAAUAUAAUCAUAACAUAAGAAAAUUAUUACUUCUACCAUAUUCUCCUCGUUAUUUUUAAUAAAUUAUUUUGUAACUUUAUAGUUAUGAAUAAGAGUGGAUCCUGCCUUUAAUAAUUUUUACUUGUGGACACUUAGUUGUAAAAUAAAUCUUAAAAUUAAAUUAAUUAGUAUAUAACUUUUCGAUACAUCAUUUUGUUGUCUUUGUCUCUUCAGCAUAUCCAAAAAAGAUGUAAAAUAAAACUUGUCUAUCAUAAAAAAUAUUCUUCUUAUAAAAAUUUUUAAUCAUUUUAUAUAUUUUACCUCGGAUGUGAAUGGGAGAUUACCUCAGUUAUAGAGAUGGAUACAAAGAGCGUCAUAAAAAACUAACAUCUUAUACGAUCGUUUUGAAUAACCGAGGGAAAGGUGAAAAAGUCAUUCAUUUGAUCCCCAGUGUAGGUCGGAUUUUUUAAUAAUUGAGGGGUAUAACCAAUGUUUUUAAAAUUCCAUUUUAACUGACCUUGAUCAUUUCUAUAUAGAUCCUACAAAUUAGGUGACAGAAUCAUAUCAAUUUGUAUUUUAUUUAGAAUAAAACAAAAUACCAAUUUUACAUUGUUAUAAAAGCAAAUGUACAAUCCUUGCAAUACUUAUCGUGAUAUUUGUAUACACAAAACCUAUCGCAAGAGAACCUAUACAUAUUUCACCUAAAUUGACAAAACAUUUACACAAUGCUAGUGAUAGUUAAAAAUCAAAGAAAAACUAGUGUUGACUAGAUUCAUAAUGACAUAAGAAGACACUUGCACAACGUGAUCGGAUGUCAUCUAUCUCCUCUGUGGAAAUGGUGUUUUAUUGCUAGACGCUUAUAAUUUGAACAAAAUUUAAAUUAUGAUAAGUUAACUACAACAAUAAUAAUUAACAAUUAACAAUAAUUACAUGUAUAUGGAUAAAGUUAAUACCUUAUUCAAUGAAUAAUAAUGCCAUUAGAGAAAAUAUUAGACAUAUGUAUCAUAGUAUUAUAUCGACAUAUAAAGUUCUGUGAUUAUCUUUGCUGCUACAAAUAAUUUUCAUAUUGUUACUAAUUAAUACACAAAAGACAAAGUAAUACAUUAGAGAAACUAAAAUAUCAAAAAGCAUAAGUAAUACUUACACGUGUUCUAUGAACUUUAGCUUUUACCCUGUAUAUUACGUUUCACAAAAUUGUAUCCCUCCAAAUCAUUACAUGAUGGUAAAAAUCAAACAUGAAUAAAACUUUCAACAGACUAAAGGUAAAAUUUGAGUAUUCCAAAUAAUACCACUUACGCACUUAAAAUCUUUUGUAUAUCUUCAUCAAGAUGACAAUGUAACCAGCAUAACAUAACUAUAUAUUUUUCUUCUGACAUAAUAAUUAAUUGCAAAUGUUUGCUACAUAAAAACUUAGAAUAAUUAAAAUGUGUGUAUAAAAUGAUUUAUAAUGAAAACACAAAUUAAAUCAUAUACUUAAUUUUGAUAAAUUAUGACAUGUAAUAUUCUUUAUUCUCUUUAACCAACUUGUUGUAUGCGUAUAUGGAUAUUGUUUGUUAAAUUACUAAAAUUGAAUGUUCAAUGGAUCAUAUGAAAUAAUAUGCUUUCAAUUUCUUUCGACACUUGUCUCAUGCAUGACCCUAUUAAAAAAGUAAUGCAAAUGUCAAAAUUUUAUGUUAAAGUAUGAGAACGAUGAAUUAUGGAAUCUCGUCUAUCAUACUAAAUAAUCUUUUUCAUUUCCAUUUAGUUAGAUUUGCAAAUAGAGUGUUAGAUUACAUUAUUUUAUUUCCUCUGAAUACUAUGUUGUAUGAUAUAAAGAAAGAAAUAAUUUUAAAUUGAUAUUUUCAUUAUUAUAUUUUUCAUGAUUUAAUUGAUAUGUGAAUAUUUUUAAUGUUUAAAAAUACUUUGAAGUUUUCAAAAUUAUGAUUUUUUUCUCCAAGGUACUUUGACCUUGUUUGACAUAUGAUAAUCUCAUGGCAAUUUUUUUGUGUUUUGAUGAGGUUUUUAGGAAAUUGACCACAUAUUUAAUUUAACGCAUAUUUUGUUAUUUUUAAUUGUUUAAAUGCCAAAUAAAUUGUGUAGAGCCAUUUAAUUGACUUUGUGAGUUUGACUUGUGUUGUUGGACCUUGGUCAAGGGGAUUUGACUUGUUAGGUUAAGAUUAUUGGAUUAGGGGAUUGAUGGAAUGUAAAUUCCAUCUCCCAAAAUGAACGAAUGAUCUUAAUUUUGGUAAAGUCCUCUUGACCAAUUUGUGAUUGAUCCAUUCCCCCUCCCUCUUUAUCUCAUUCCCCUUCUUUAUUCAUUCAUAUCAUGGACCUAUGUAUAUCUACAUCCAAAGGCUAGUUGAUUGCAAAAUCAACAUGAGUAUGGAUGAGAUUAGGUCACCACUUUGCAUAUUCUUUUUGUGUGUGGUAUGUUUCAUGAGUAUAAUCCAUUAUACUAUAUCUCUAACAUGAAUUAACACCAAAUUCUAUUGCCCGACCUCAAAUAGUUGUGACUUCUACAUAAGUCCAAUUAUGAUUGCUUAAUAUAGCGCUAAAUUUGUGACACAAAAAGGCAUAGCCAUUAUAGUAGAAGUGAGAUGUAAGUUCCACUCUUUCAUGGUGUGAGAAACUUGCCAUUUUUUCCUCCCGUGGAAAUGUCUUGGUUACAGAGACCUGCUAGUGAUAAGUGCGUUGAGUGUUCUCCAAAGAAUGACUUAAACAAAAACAAAACAAAACAAUACUAACUCUAACCGACUAACACUAACAUAUUAUACAAGCCAUUUACUUUUAUGCACUUUAAUUGAGCUUUAAUUCAUUUGCCAUUAUUCAUACCAUUCAAUUUGUUACUUAAUGUCAUUUUCACUUGCGCACACUGGUGCAUAAUUUGUGAUAUAUUGUAUUUGUAUAUACUUGUUGUUUUGUGUGUCCUUUUCCUUAAUGUACAUCAUAAGAACAAAAACCCUAAUAAAUAUUUUCGUGGACUGUUGAUUUGAUCUGAGACUAUUGGACUUAGAAUUUAGGCAACACUCCCUAUGCAAAUGACUUGGCCAAUGCCAAAUUUCAUGAAACCAAUUGCUUGUGAAGUUAACAUCCAUAUGAUACAAUAUUGAAGAUCCAUUUGAGUUCAUCUGCAACAUGAUCAUAUUGAAACUGUUAUUUUGAACCUGUGUCUAAUGCUCCUCUUUUAAGUCAUCUGAUACAUGGGGAAUCAUAAAGAAAGAUCAUGGAGUUGCUAAUCUUAGAUGUGGCUAUCUUUAUUUGAUGUCUUGGUCUUCCACCUUGCUAUUUGUGUAAUUGAUAUUCCUUGAUUCUAAACUCCAUAGGAAAUUUGGUUUCUAUAUGACAUUUUUGUUUAUUGGAUUACAGCCGUGGUCAGAUCUUUUCAACUCUUAACUUUUAAAUUCGUGCUUAGGAUUAGUCUCUUCAUCUCCUUCCAUUCUUUUAAUUUCAAAAUCUCUCCCUCCUUUUAAAACCUUUUUCAUUGUGUUUGUUUUCUAAACUUAGACCAUUUUUUUGCAAAUUAGAAACUUUGGCCUUAUGCCAUUGCAUUUUUAAACUCUUUUCUCAAUCAAACCUGUAAAUAAACUUAAUUAUACUUGACUUAAAAUUUUAGAAAGAAAAAAGAACUAACACUCAUUCAAAUAAUUUUGGCCUUUUUGUGCCUUGUUAAACUUAAAUUUUGUUAAAAGCAAUGCACUCAUUUUGAAUUAAUACCACGAACUACGAGUUUUGAUCCCUCAUUUUGUGUUGGUACCUAGCACAAGUCUGAAGGUCUUGUCAAACACAAAAAUAUAUUUAAUGAAUCUUUUUCUCAUCCCUCCACUCUAUUUUUUUUGCAAACAUCAGUUGUACAAAAACACAUAUCCAAAAAAAAGGGCUCCCUAGGAUAACCUAUGACAAUUUGGGUGCUAACAUCUUCCCUCUGUGUAAUCCACCCCCUUAUCCGUAAUCUCUGACAUUUUAUUAGUUUUGAUUUAAAAACUUCUUAUCUUUUGAGUUUUGUUCGUCCUUUUCCCUCUUCCUUGAAAAACCCAAAAGCGCGGUGGCGACUCUGGUUUUAUUGAAUUUAGCAUAUCCAUAGCUUAAUGGUCAUGGCAACCAAAUCAAAUCAGGAGUAUAUUAUUUGAUGAGAAUGUAUUAGCACCCCCGCAUAUUGUUGUACUCAACGAGAACCAUUUAGUUAAAUUUACGUGUAAAAGUGUUAGAUUAUGAUUUUAUUUCAUUUGAUUAUUAUGUUGUAUGAAAUAACCAAUAAAAUAAGUUUUUUAAUUAGGGUGCCUGACAGAAUUUUAAAUCUCGCUCCAACUGAAUAGAUAAAACAUCAUUCGUUUGUGAAAAGUUUUUUAGUCGUGCUGAGGAAGAAGUAGGAUUGAUGGGUUGAAAUAUUUUUUAGGUGGAAGAUGAUUAUUCUAAAGGAAAGAUAUACUCCUUUAUGGAUACAAGUAAAUAAAAAUAGAGAGUACAUGACUCGCUCGCAAUGAGAAAAUUGUCUCUCUCCUUUUUUAAACAUGGUUCUAGGGCCACAUCCUCUUCGUGUAAUUAAUUGACUAACAUAUAUCCUCUAUUUAAGACUUAUGUAAAGUUUGGAUAAAAAACUUUAUGACACAAAGAGGGAAAUAAUUAAUAGAAGAGUAACAAGUCUUGAAAUGGAUAAAAUACAAAGAUUAUAAGUGAAACAAAAAUCUACUAAACUACACAUAUUAUGCUCUUACUAGACACAAGUAAACAAUUAUUUUAAUCGCAUAAUAUUCUCCAAUGGUAAUAUAAUAAACAAUUAAUUAGAUCUCCUGAGUUUUUUCAAAGGUUGUUAUAUGUGUAUUGAUGUUUUAUUUGUUCACAAUUUUAAAAAGUCAACAAGGUCACUGUAAUUAUUAAAAAGAAAAGAGAAUAUAAAUGAAGUAUGAGGAAGAUCACUAGUUUUACAAUAUUAUUAUAUAAUAUAGAAGUACAAAGUAUAAGAAACUUUAACUUAUUUUCCAAUAAAUCUCUAGAGUUACUUUGAGAGGUGAUAUGAUUGAAAAGAAAAUGUAAUAUGGAUAAAUUGAAGGUCAUGAAUAUUUCUCUAAAAUUAAAAGGGAAGAAGGCAUCAAAAUAUUAUUAGUUUUUUCUAAAAUUAAAAAAGAGAAGAAGACAAUAAAAAAUGAAAAUAUAUUAUUUGUUAUUUUAUUUCAUUUCAUUACAAUCAUGUUACUAUAUAACCAACAACUACCAGGUUCUUGAAAUAGAACAAAAACAAAUAAGAUUGUUGGGGUAACCAUACAAUAUCCAAAUGAUAUGCGACAACACAAUAUAUAGGUGUUUGUGUGUUCUCUCGGGUCUCUCUUUUUAUGAGAUGUUUGUAAACUACUAAAGAUAUUUCUUUAUCUUCUCGAUUAAGCAAUUCAAGUCCUAGUACUCAUUAAACAAUGACUCUUGUUAUGCAUGUUCUUUAAAAGGAAACCGAAAAAAAAAUAUUUCUACAAUCUGAAUCAUCAAAACAUUUAAUUCUUUCUCCUACAAUAAAAACACACAAUAAGGUUAUUAAAAUAAUAAAAAAUACAAGGUAUGAAAUAAAAAAUAAAGUGUUAAAUGAAUGAAUUGAAGUUUCCUUCAAUUUUCGAUCCAAUAAAAAUAUAAAAGAUUAAUAUAAUCAUAACUUAAUAGAACUUUAUUAUUUCUAUCCUAUUUCUCCUCGUUAUAUUUAAUAAAUUAUUUUAUAACUUUAUAGUUUAAAUAACAGUGCAUCCUCACCCUCUUUAUAUCUCUUAAUUAUGGAUACAUAGUUGCAAAAUAAAUCUUAAAAAGAUGUCACAUCAUUUUGUUGUGUUAGUCUCUUCAGCACAUCUAAAAAAGAUGUCGGAUAAAACUUGUCUAUCAAAAAAUAUUUUCUUCUUAUAAUAAAAUUCUAAUUAUUUUAAAUUAUAUUACCUCGGAUGUGAAAUGGAGAUUACCUCAGUUAUAGAGAUUGGAUAACAAAGGGCAUCAUAAAAAACUAAUAUUUUAUCCAUCGGUUUUGAAUAACCGAGGGGAAAGGUGAAAAAGUCAUUGACUUGAUCCCAAUUUACGUAGGAUUUUUUAAAAUAACCGAGGGGUAAUAACCAAUGUUUUUUAAAAUUCCAUUUUGACUUACCUAAAUCAAUUUUUACAUAGAGCCUACAAUUAAGUGACAGAAUCAUAACGUUUGUAUUUUAUAUAGAAUACAAUACAGAAUAUCAUUUUAGCAUUGUUUAGCAAAACGUAAAUGUACAACCUUACACAAUACUUUAUAAUGCUAAUUUGGUAUACACAAAACCUCUACCUAAGAGAAACCUAUACAUAUUUGCACCUAAAUGAAAAGAACCUGCUACACAAUGCAAGUGUAUAGAUUAAAUAAAGAAAAAUCUCUCUCGGCGCGGAUUGCGCUGCACGAUUGCGCGAGAAGAUGUUGACCGAGUAAAACGUGAGAGAGUCAGGCUACGAGAGAUGUAANUAUAAUUAUUGGGGGUAAAAAUACAAUAUCCAAAUGACAUACGACAACACAUAAAAUAUAUUAGGUGUUUGCGUCUUCUCUAGGGACUUUCAAUUAAAAACUAAAUUUGUAAACUCUUAAAGGUAUUUAUUUAUCUCCUGGGAUUAAGCAAUUCACGCACUAUUUUACAUUUACAAUAAGUGUUGCUUAUGCAUUUUCCUCUAUAAGGAGGCCGGCAAUACAUUUUGUUUUGAUAAUCUGAAUCAUCAAAACAUUUGAUUCUCUCUGCUGCAAUAAAAAAACACUAUAUGGUUAUUAAAAUGAAAAAAAAUAUAACGUAUGAAAUAAAACAGAACAUUUAAAAUGAAUGAACAAAAGUUACCUUUAAUUUUCGUUCCAAUAAAAAAUAGAAAGAAUAAUAUAAUCAUAACCUAAGGAAAAUUUAUUACUUCUACCAUAUUUCUCCUCGUUAUUUUUAAUAAAUUAUUUUGUAACUUCAUAGUUUAUGAAUAAGAGUGGAUCCUCGCCUUUAAUAAUUUUUACUUGUGGACACUUAGUUGUAAAAUAAAUCUUAAAAUUAAAUUAAUUAGUAUAUAACUUUUCGAUACAUCAUUUUGUUGUCUUUGU